UGUAAUUUGUAGAAUUUGUCUUUGAUUUGGUCCUUGUCUAUGUUCCUUGGAACAGGACGUCAUAGAGGGUGAGAAUCCCGUUUGGCGAGGAUACCAUUUCUUUGUAAGACUUUUUCGAAGAGUCGAGUUGUUUGGGAAUGCAGCUCAAAGUGGGUGGUAAAUUCCAUCUAAAGCUAAAUAUUGGCGAGAGACCGAUAGCGAACAAGUACAGUGAUGGAAAGAUGAAAAGAACUUUGAAAAGAGAGUGAAAAAGUACGUGAAAUUGUUGAAAGGGAAGGGCAUUUGAUCAGACAUGGUGUUUUUUGCAUGCACUCGCCUCUCGUGGGCUUGGGCCUCUCAAAAAUUUCACUGGGCCAACAUCAGUUUUGGCGGUAGGAUAAAUCAUUAGGAACGUAGCUUCUUCGGGAGUGUUAUAGCCUAGUGGAAUACUAUCAGCCGGGACUGAGGAUUGCGCUUUAUGCAAGGAUGUUGGCAUAAUGGUUAAAUGCCGCCCGUCUUG
rnacentral:rRNA from 1 species